UAUAUUGCGUUGAAGGGGAAAAGUACCCAAAAUUGUUAUUCGAGUGAGUUAGGUAUAGUGUGAACUAAUAAUAACAUUUGGCGAAAGAACACCCCAGAGCUGACUACCGAAAGGAGUAUUCUUAGUAGGCUAGUUCGGAAGGCAAUCCGUUAUCAUGUUGCUAGGUUUGUUAGAACUGAAAAGAGAUUACUGUAAUAGCAAACCGUUUAUAUAUAUAGAUGGUUUUUUUAGUAAUAAAUUAAGGUGGCACCACGGAUACCCGUAUUCGUCCUUAUU
rnacentral:ncRNA from 1 species